rnacentral:rRNA from 1 species
UACGUAAGGUGCAAGCGUUAUCCGGAAUCAUUGGGCGUAAAGCGUUCGUAGGCGGUGGAGCAAGUUUGUAGUUAAAUCUGGUCGCUCAACGAUCAACUCGCUACAAAAACUGCUUUACUAGAGAUCGGCAGAGGCAACUGGAAUGUCGCAUGUAGGGGUAAAAUCCGUUGAUAUGCGAUGGAACACCAAAAGCGAAGGCAGGUUGCUGGGCCGUUUCUGACGCUGAGGAACGAAAGCGUGGGGAGCAAACAGG